GCCUAAUACAUGCAAGUCGAACGGUCUUUCUAUGGAAGCUUGCUUCCACUGAGAAGAUAGUGGCGAACGGGUGAGUAACACGUGGGUAACCUGCCCAUAAGAGGGGGAUAACAUCCGGAAACGGGUGCUAAUACCGCAUAGUUUUCUUGAUCGCAUGAUUGAGAAAGGAAAGACGGCCUUUGUGCUGUCGCUUAUGGAUGGACCCGCGGCGUAUUAGUUAGUUGGUGAGGUAACGGCUCACCAAGACGAUGAUACGUAGCCGACCUGAGAGGGUGAUCGGCCACAUUGGGACUGAGACACGGCCCAAACUCCUACGGGAGGCAGCAGUAGGGAAUCUUCCGCAAUGGACGAAAGUCUGACGGAGCAACGCCGCGUGAGUGAAAGAAGGUUUUCGGAUCGUAAAACUCUGUUGUCAGAGAAGAACAAGUUGGAGAGUAACUGCUCCAGCCUUGACGGUAUCUGACCAGAAAGCCACGGCUAACUACGUGCCAGCCGCCGC
rnacentral:rRNA from 1 species